UUUGUAAUUCUAGAUCUCAGGCUC
rnacentral:miRNA from 1 species